rnacentral:rRNA from 1 species
UACAGAGGGGGCAAGCGUUGUUCGGAAUUACUGGGCGUAAAGGGCGCGUAGGCGGCCUUCUAAGUCGAACGUGAAAUCCCUGGGCUCAACCCAGGAACUGCGUCCGAUACUGGGAGGCUUGAAUCCGGGAGAGGGAUGUGGAAUUCCAGGUGUAGCGGUGAAAUGCGCAGAUAUCAGGAGGAACACCAAUGGCGAAGGCAGCUCGCUGGAACGGUACUGACGCUGAGGCGCGAAAGCGUGGGGAGCGAACAGG